rnacentral:lncRNA from 1 species
AGAAAUAUAAGGCUAGUUUUGGUAGGAUUUGUUUGGACUUUUAUAAUUGUUGUUCAAAAUCAAGAUUUAUAUUGGUAACUUGGGAUUUAUGCAAUGUAAUUAGGACUAACACUCUUACGUAGUUUGUAAAAUUGGUAUCACAUCUACAGUUCAAAUUUUGAAAGUUCUUAGUUAAUUAGGUGUACUAAGUGUAUGUAUAAUUUUGUGAUAAUCCAAUAGUGCAAUUGAGAGAUAUCUAGGUUUUGGUACAAGAACAUAUCGGAAGUUGGCAGUUUGGAGUUAGAUAGAGUUUCUAUAAUAUCUAAAGAUCUAGUAGUUGGAUGAAGGUGAAAUUUGGCAUGGUAUUGGAGAACUUAAAGAUCAAGCUACACACCAAUUUUGAGUUGAGGUUAAUAGUUGA